UGCAAAUAUGCAAUAUGUGUCAAUAUGAAAUUUACAAUAUGCCAUAUGCCAGUUCCCUGCCUCCAAUAGUAUAAAAAGCGGCAGAUGAAAAUGGGAGCAUGGCAGUUCUUGCAUCAAAGUAAGUACCGUAGAACACGGUGUGACAUCUUUUUUCUUCUUUUGUUGAACUCACUGCCUUCAACAUUUUUGGAGUGUUCUGUUUAAAUUUGCAGUUUGUUUUUUCCUUUUGUUCACCUUCAUAUUUUAUUCCUAUUUCUGUUUGACCUAAAGUUCAUCGUCAUCUUUCUGUUGUAUCUGUCAGAAUCAGCUGUUUUGUGGUCAAAUAAUCUAAUCUGACUUUUUUUUUUUUUUCAGUGAACUCCAAGGGCUGUAGUAAGACCAUGGACUAUCAAUCCCAGACGAAUAACACAGCAAUGAAUGCAUCAACUGUGAUUUCUCCCCACAUCAGGGACUGUCAAAUCGGCAACUUCAACAUCAACAACAACAUCACAGUUCAAGGUGGUAGUUUCUUUCUACCGUCCUCUGAAGGACCCCUGUCUGGGUUCCCACAGGAGGUGUGUAGGGUUCAGAACGACCAGAAUGGACGACUGGACAACGAUGAUCUAUUUCUGCUCAUGUUGAAGGAGCGCCUGAAAACACUUGAUGUCCGAACAAGAAGUCAAGAAUGGCCUGUACAGAUGAAAUCCAACAGCAGGAGGCUCUGGAUGUUUGUCGUCGGUCACAGGAUUUUCUCAUCAGCAAUUCAACCCUCGAGUCGAGUCUUCAUUGGACACGCCCACUUUUGUUCCAGACGCACAUCGAAGCCUCAGUUCAUUUGUCCCAUCACUAAUGUGAACCUUUAUUUAACCAGAUAAAAUGAUCUCUAUUACAAGGACGACCUGGUCCAGAGGUCAGCAGCACACACCAUAGAACAAUGAAAAAACAGGGUCAAAGAUCAGUGAGAAUGAAAAAAACACAAACUGACAAUAAUUUAGUAGUAAAACAAAAUAAUAAGAGUGUCUCAAUUGUUUUUUUAGGUGCAGUGUAGUUUAGGUCACCAGCAACUUUUGAAAAGUGCCAGAUCUGUGACGGUCGGACUCUGCCAUUAUUUCCACCCUCAGGUUAUUGGUUACACAUGUUGUGGAUUAUUUUGUGUUCAUAAAACCUGUUACAUCCUAAAACACAAUGAUACACAGUGUUGGAAGAUUACAGACAUUUAUUUGGUUCUGUGACUGUUUCACUGAGGAUCUGAGUUGAACAGUGAUUGAAGUUUCAUCUUGAAGGUCUUUGUCGCUGAUAUUAUUCGGACGUCAAGUGUUUUCAGGAGCUCCUUCAACCUGAGCAGAAACUGGUCACUGUUGUCCAGUCAUCCAUUCUGGUCGUUCUGAACCCCACACACCUCCUGUGGGAACGCAGACAGGGGUCAUUCAGAGGACGGUAGAAAGAAACUACCACCUGAAACAAACACACAAACACUACUGCUAAAGCAAAACUCAUUUUAUUUAUAUCACACCAAAUCCAAACCAAAGUUAUCUGAUGACACUUUCCAUUUAGAGCUGGUCUAAACCAGACUCUGAAACCAAUUCACAGAACCAACAGAAUCCUCCAGGAGUAAACACUUGUGACAGUGGAAGGAAAAACUACCUUGAACAGGUAGAAACCUGGAGUAGACCCGACUGUGGAGGAUGGACCACUGACA
ensembl:lncRNA